GGUUUUUCCCUGGAUCAUCCUGGACCAUAAAAAUCCAUAUAAAAGACUAUCACGUGUAAUGCGCGUGCACGCAGAAACGCAACUCACGCAGAAACACAGAGGAACGUGCCGACAAAUUUCAGAGUCCUAACCCCUCGCAUCCGCUACAGCCUCCAUCGUCCCUGACGACCUCCCACGGGUAUCGGACCUUCCUCAUUUGAUUUGAUGCUUUCGACCAGCUCCGAGCUUCACCCCUCCGAGCUGGGAAUCAUCCGACUACCUCCCGUGGGAAUCGGACCUUCCUGUGCUGCGCGUUUCGGCCAGCUCCGAGCUUCACCCCUCCGCGACCUCCCGCGUGUUGCUCAGAGUUUACAGAGAAUCCAUGUGCUACGCGCUUUGCAACUCGCAGGUUCUGCUCGGAGUUUCCUUCUUUGACGCGUGCUGUGCGUUUUGCAACCCAAGCCUCCAACUCUGAUAAAAGAAAUGAAGAUAGUUGAGAAGGUGACUUUGAUGUUAUUGAUGAAGGCUUGAACAUCGAAACAGAUUUGGAUAUUCCACAAAUGAGAUUGGAAUUUGAGAUAGAAGAAGAUGCAUAUCAAUUUUAUUUGAUAUAUGCUAAAAAGGUUGGAUUUGGUAUAAGGAGAGGUAGAAUCUACAAGGAUGAAUCAGGUAAAUUACUUGAUAGAGUUUUUUAUUGUUGUGCCCAAGGUAAAAGAGGAAAAGACAAACGAGAUCUUUAUGUCAAAGCAAGUCGUGAUGAAACAAGGUUUGGUUGUGAGACUAAAUGAAGAUUUGUAAUCGGAAAAAAAGCAAGUUUACUGUGGUGUAGUUUGUUAAAGAGCAUAAUCAUUAUCUCUCAAGUCCAAACAAAACGCACCUUUAUAGAAGUCAUAGGAAUAUAUAUUCUUCUGUAGCGAUACAGAUUGAGAUGGUAAGUGAUGUGGGAAUCCCCCCAAAAGCAUCUCAUGAUUUUAUGGUGAGGCAAGUAGGUGGGAGGGAGAAUUUAGGAUUUAUUCCUGAGAAUUAUAAAAACUACUUGCGAUCCAAAAGAACAAUAAAUAUGAGAGUUGGGGAUACAGUAGAUGUAUUGGAAUAUCUACAGAAAAUGCAGUUCGAUGAUCCUAAUUUUUUUUAUGCCAUCCAAGUUGAUGAAGAUGAUUUGAUUGCUAAUAUUUUUUGGUCUGAUGAUAAGAUGAGAGCUAAUUAUGCUAAUUUUGGAGAUGUUUGCUUUGACAUAAUCUAUAGAAAGAAAAAUGAAGGUUAGCCAAUUGCAUUGUUUGUAGGUGUUGAUCAUCAUAAACAAUCCAUACUUUUUGGUGCUGCUUUAUUAUAUGAUGAAAUCAGUUUGACUUUUGAAUAGUUAUUUGAUACAUUAAGUAGAGCUAUGAGUGAGAAAAAGUCAACUACUAUUCUUACAGAUCAAGAUGCAGCAAUAGCAAAGGCGUUAGCUUCCAGAUGGCUUGAAACACAUCAUUGUUUGUGCAUUUGACAUAUUUAUCAAAAUGCUGUCAUACAUUUGAGUGGAGUUUUUUCUAAAUUUAGAAACUUUGCUAAAGAUUUUGCCUCAUGUAUAUAUGAUUUUGAUGAAGAGGAAGAUUUUAUUUCAUCAUGGAACAUGAUGUUAGCCAAGUAUGCACUUGAAGACAAUGAUUGGUUGAGGUGCAUGUAUAACAUCAAGGAAAAAUGAGCUUUAGUAUAUGGACGAAAAAUGUUUUGUGCGGAUAUGACUACAACCCAAAGAAGUGAGAACAUGAAUAUUAUUAUGAAAAAGCAUGUCACUUAUAAACACAAGUUUUUAGACUUCUUCAGUCACUUCCAAAGGCUCCUUGAUGAUCGUCGAUAUGAGGAAUUAAAAGCUGAUUUCAAAUCAAAUACAAUUAUUCCCUAUUUAAUGUUUUCAAUUGAGAUUUUAAAGCGUACAAGUGUUUUCAGCAGGAGUGGUGCUUAUCUCAUGAUUAUAAUCUAGAAAUUUGUGAAGAUGCUGAUACAUUUACAAAAUAUAAAUUUACUCCUCGCAAAAAGAGAAACCAUCAUAUAGUUACACUUGAUAAGAAGUGUGAAAAAUUGAGUGUAACUGUAGAAAAUAUGAAUUUGCUGAAAUUUUGUAUUCUCAUAUUCUGAAAAUAUUUACUUGAAAAAAUAUCAUGAAGAUCUCAAGUGAUUAUGUAUUGAAAAGGUGGACAAGAAAAGCAAAAAUAUGAUAUUUUGAAGUUAAUGAUUCAAUGGCCAACAAUGCUAGUUUGGAUCCAAAAGUACUUCAAAACAUACGUUACAAAGAGUUGUGUGGGUUGAAUAUUCAAUUGGUUACCAAGGCAGCAGAAAGGGAUGACACUUACAUGUUUGUUAAAGAUACUAUGUUGAGCUUGUGUAAGAUGGUGGAUGAUAAAUAACAAGGUAAUAAAUCAAAUGUCCAACAAUCAAAUGUGAGCUAAGCAUCCUGGGAAUUUGAUUAUGGUGAAGGGAACUCUACUGGAGUGAAAGGGAUUAAAAUGAAGAAAAAACGGUGUCAGGUAAGAGGUUAAUGGUUUCUAUUCCAUAAUUUUACAAAUUUUGUUUAUUUGGUAUUAUUUAUUGUUAAAUUCGAAUAACUUAAAUCAUUCUAUUUUUUUAUAACACAUGAUGUAGAUCAAACUAUUUCCAACGUGGCCAGCGUACAAUGUGACCGGAUUAAUCAUCAAGUUGGUAUUUGUUUUACUUAUGUUAAUCUAAGAUAAUUUAUAUUAUAACUAUCUAAGAUUGUAUUUUAUUUUUUUGUUUUAGCCUAUAAAUUCUGUGCCAACAAUUGGUAGCUCUGUUAGUAAUUUCAAUAUGACUGAGACUCAAUUUUCACCAUUAUUAGCAUCACAACUUUCUCAGGUAUAUAUACAUCUCAGUUAUCACAAGUUUCUUUAAUUCUAAUUGAAAUUUAUAAUAGAUAUCGCUUUCUGUUACUGCUUAUUGAUUGUUGGAUUUUAGUUAUAUAACUUUGUAAUUAGCAACAAAAUGAAGAAGCAUUAUCUCGUUUGAAUAAAAGGCUAUGAUUUGUUUUGAUCGGAAGUUGAUGAGGUUUUAUUGGUGAUGUUGGUAAGCUUGUUUUGAUAGCUUUGAUAUUUAAUGAAUCCAACAUUUGUUUAGUGCAGUUUCAUUAUUAUCAUGGAGUUUUGAUUCUCAAUUUCUGCUAUGUGGUAAUUGAUUGAUGAGUGUAUGUUUAAACUUGCAAAAAUGAUGAUGAUUGUUAAUGCUAUUGUUUGUUUUUGGAAUGGGGGAGGGUUGCUGUUAUUCAAAUUGAUUUGGCAAAAUUGUGGAGCUGCAAUUCGUUCAACGUGUUUUUCUCCUUGUGAUGUUGUAAGGAGCGGAUGUAAUUCUAUUGGCGGUGUUGAUAUGGAAGCUGGUGUUUUUUCUGAUGAGUUUUUUAAUAUUGGCGAUUAAAAUAUUGUGCAAUUCUCAUUUAGUCUUUUAGCUUAUUUGUUUAAUAGUUUACCGUUGUGUACUGUUAUAGGCGCAAUUCCCAUUUGUGUAGUUUCCUGGACCACCUCCUACGACCUCCUCCCCUUAGACA